rnacentral:misc_RNA from 1 species
GAACUAGACAACAUUUUACCUGUAUGAAUAUUAACACUUCUUAAAAGGUGGGAGUGUUGAAUGAAAUUCAACCCGUUUGCGAUGUUAAAUGGGCGUGUAAAAGGCGUGUCCAAAAGUUAUGGGCGUAUCCAUCUGUGAUCACUGAUUGGAUCGAUGACCUCGCGAUACCCCCCGGCACGCCCAUAUACCUCCACACCGUGCAAUUAUUAAAGCACAGCCGCAGCCGAUUUCUACCGCAAAGUCAAGAAACAAACCGUCGAUGCAUAUCGUAUUUCAUUGAAAAUUGCACUUUCAAAUGAUUCGAAACAAGUCUAACCUUAGCCUAACAAUUCCAAGCUAGGAUUUGUCGUCUGUUAAUUGCUCAUCAUUUUUGCAUCAGGUUGUGAAUUCCAAUUUUAAUUUUCGGGUUUCUUGGCCAGGCCAAUUACAGUACAGCGCUGAACACCGUUGCGGAUCCCCGUCCGUAUACAAUACAGCGAUCGAUAAAAGAACAACCAUGAACGUCAAUGCACAGAGAAAGAAGAUAGGAGUGGCCCUGUUUGGCGUAGGGCGUGCUGGAGCCAUCCACAUCAAAUACCUUGCCAUCUGUCCUCGCGUCGAGCUAAGGUGGAUCGUGGAAGAGGACGUCGAGAAGGUCAAGCCCUACUUAGACCAGCUUUAUCUCUACGAUACUCCUGUCAUUUCUAACAAAGAAGCUGAUAAGGUGUGGAAUGACGAGAAGACUGAAGCGAUUGUAGUUUGUGUACCAACUUUACUUCAUGAAUCUAUCAUUCUGAAAGGACUUGAUAAGGCGAAGGCCGUAUUUGUGGAGAAACCAAUUGCUGUCAAGUUAGCUGACACCAGGGAAUGCUACCUCAAGGCUGCUAGGGUGGGCAAGCCUCUCUUAUGUGCUUUUAACAGGCGGUUUGAUCCAUCUAUCCGUAAGCUGAGACAGAGGGUACAGAAUGGGGAGAUAGGACAGGUCAGGUGUAUAAAGACGACGGCCAGGGAUGCCCCUUUUCCUCCUAUAGAAUACCUUAAAAUAUCAGGUGGAUUCUACCAUGACUGCGCUGUUCACGACAUCGACCUUGUUCUCUGGAUACUUGGUGAGAAACCAACCAGCAUCUUUGCUCAGGGCCACGCCUUCAACGACCAAAUCAAAGCCAUGAACGAUGUCGACCAGGCUGCCAUCGUCCUCAAGUUUCCGAGUGGUAUAAUCGCGACUAUCGACCUCAACCGUGAUGCUGUGUAUGGUUACGACCAGCGAAUAGAGGUUUUAGGAUCCAAAGGUAUGUUGCAAUCACAGAACAGAAUAGAGGCACCUCUCACAAAGCACAAUGAACAGGGAGAACUUCUAGAUCCGAUCUUCCCAUCAUUCCCUGAGCGCUACAGCCAGUCGUACUGCGAUGAGAUGGACCACUUCCUUGAUGCUGUAGAAGGUAGGUAUUUAUUUCCCAUCAUUCCCUGAGCGCUAUAGCCAGUCGUAGUGCGAUGAGAUGGACCACUUCCUUGAUGCUGUAGAAGGAAAGAUCGAGAAGUUGGAUGUGUCAAUGGAGGAUACAUUGAGUACAUCGUGGAUUGCU